rnacentral:rRNA from 1 species
AGAGUUUGAUCAUGGCUCAGAUUGAACGCUGGCGGCAGGCCUAACACAUGCAAGUCGAACGGAAACAUGUCUAGCUUGCUAGAUGAUGUCGAGUGGCGGACGGGUGAGUAAUACUUAGGAACAUGCCUUUGGGUGGGGGAUAAGUAUUGGAAACGAUAGCUAAUACCGCAUAACGUCUACGGACCAAAGGGGGCUUCGGCUCCCGCCCAGAGAGUGGCCUAAGUGAGAUUAGCUUGUUGGUGAGGUAAAGGCUCACCAAGGCGACGAUCUCUAGCUGUUCUGAGAGGAAGAUCAGCCACACUGGAACUGAGACACGGUCCAGACUCCUACGGGAGGCAGCAGUGGGGAAUAUUGCACAAUGGGGGAAACCCUGAUGCAGCCAUGCCGCGUGUGUGAAGAAGGCCUUCGGGUUGUAAAGCACUUUCAGUUGUGAGGAAAGUUUAGCGGUUAAUACCCGUUAGAUGUGACGUUAGCAACAGAAGAAGGACCGGCUAACUCCGUGCCAGCAGCCGCGGUAAUACGGAGGGUCCGAGCGUUAAUCGGAAUUACUGGGCGUAAAGCGCACGCAGGCGGUUUGUUAAGCUAGAUGUGAAAGCCCUGGGCUCAACCUGGGAAUAGCAUUUAGAACUGGCAGACUAGAGUCUUGGAGAGGGGAGUGGAAUUUCUGGUGUAGCGGUGAAAUGCGUAGAUAUCUGAAGGAACAUCAGUGGCGAGGGCGACUCCCUGGCCAAAGACUGACGCUCAUGUGCGAAAGUGUGGGUAGCGAACAGGAUUAGAUACCCUGGUAGUCCACACCGUAAACGCUGUCUACUAGCUGUUUGUGGAUUUAAUCCGUGAGUAGCGCAGCUAACGCGAUAAGUAGACCGCCUGGGGAGGACGGCCGCAAGGUUAAAACUCAAAUGAAUGAACGGGGGCCCGCACAAGCGGUGGAGCAUGUGGUUUAAUUCGAUGCAACGCGAAGAACCUUACCUACUCUUGACAUACUAGAAACUUUUCAAAAAUGAAUUGGUGC